GACGAACGCUGGCGGCGUGCUUAACACAUGCAAGUCGAACGGAAAGGCCCUGCUUUUGUGGGGUGCUCGAGUGGCGAACGGGUGAGUAACACGUGAGAAACCUGCCCUUGACUUUGGGAUAACUUCAGGAAACUGGGGCAAAUACCGGAUAGGAGCUCCUGCUGCAUGGGGGGGGUUGGAAAGUUUCGGCGGUUGGGGAUGGACUCGCGGCUUAUCAGCUUGUUGGUGGGGUAGUGGCUUACCAAGGCUUUGACGGGUAGCCGGCCUGAGAGGGUGACCGGCCACAUUGGGACUGAGAUACGGCCCAGACUCCUACGGGAGGCAGCAGUGGGGAAUAUUGCACAAUGGGCGGAAGCCUGAUGCAGCAACGCCGCGUGCGGGAUGACGGCCUUCGGGUUGUAAACCGCUUUCGCCUGUGACGAAGCGUGAGUGACGGUAAUGGGUAAAGAAGCACCGGCUAACUACGUG
rnacentral:rRNA from 1 species